CGCUGACUAGUUAACACAUAUUAGAAAAUAUCUAAUCCUUGUGCCUUCUCGUACCCACUCCUGCUGUACCUCACAUUUCCUCCAUUAUCUUCUCCCUUUCCAUUCCAUACCCCCUCUCUCUAAGCAUGGCUGGCCACCACCUCCGAGGGCGGCGGCGCGCCUCCGCUGCCGUGUCCCUGCCCGUCAUCGGCAUAUCAGCGAGCCAACGAGUCAGAAUCCCAGUUAAAUUGAGGACAGGAUGGCGAUGAUGCCGGCCGAGCAGUUGCUGCAGGACAUGGUGGCAGUGUGCGACAAGUUCUACGACUAACACAAACGAAGAAGAAAAUUGGAGCUAGUCUUCUAAUUUUCUUCCUUAAUUUUAUAGGUUUCUAUCUUGUAGUUGUGAUGCUCCUCAUUUGAGGUUUAGGAUCUAAGAACUCUUGUAACUUUUUUGGCUGCAGUCAUUCACGUGUGAACAA